ACGCUAGCUACAGGCUUAACACAUGCAAGUCGAGGGGAAACGGCAUUGAGUGCUUGCACACUUUGGACGUCGACCGGCGCACGGGUGAGUAACGCGUAUCCAACCUUCCCUUUACUGUGGGAUAACCUGCCGAAAGGCAGACUAAUACCGCAUGGUCUUCGAUGACGGCAUCAGAUUUGAAGUAAAGAUUUAUCGGUAAUGGAUGGGGAUGCGUCUGAUUAGCUUGUUGGCGGGGUAACGGCCCACCAAGGCGACGAUCAGUAGGGGUUCUGAGAGGAAGGUCCCCCACAUUGGAACUGAGACACGGUCCAAACUCCUACGGGAGGCAGCAGUGAGGAAUAUUGGUCAAUGGACGGAAGUCUGAACCAGCCAAGUAGCGUGCAGGAUGACGGCCCUAUGGGAUGUAAACUGCUUUUGCAUGGGGAUAAAGUUAGGGACGAGUCCCUAUUUGCAGGUACCAUACGAAUAAGGACCGGCUAAUUCCGUGCCAGCAGCCGCGGUAAUACGGAAGGUCCAGGCGUUAUCCGGAUUUAUUGGGUUUAAAGGGAGCGUAGGCUGGAGAUUAAGUGUGUUGUGAAAUGUAGACGCUCAACGUCUGAAUUGCAGCGCAUACUGGUUUCCUUGAGUACGCACAACGUUGGCGGAAUUCGUCGUGUAGCGGUGAAAUGCUUAGAUAUGACGAAGAACUCCGAUUGCGAAGGCAGCUGACGGGAGCGCAACUGACGCUUAAGCUCGAAGGUGCGGGUAUCAAACAGGAUUAGAUACCCUGGUAGUCCGCACAGUAAACGAUGGAUGCCCGCUGUUGGUACCUGGUAUCAGCGGCUAAGCGAAAGCAUUAAGCAUCCCACCUGGGGAGUACGCCGGCAACGGUGAAACUCAAAGGAAUUGACGGGGGCCCGCACA
rnacentral:rRNA from 1 species